UACAGAGGGGGCAAGCGUUGUUCGGAAUUACUGGGCGUAAAGGGCGCGUAGGCGGCCGCCUAAGUCAGACGUGAAAUCCCUCGGCUCAACCGGGGAACUGCGUCUGAUACUGGGUGGCUUGAAUCCGGGAGAGGGAUGCGGAAUUCCAGGUGUAGCGGUGAAAUGCGUAGAUAUCUGGAGGAAUACCGGUGGCGAAGGCGGCCAUCUGGACCGCAGUCUGACGCUGAGGCGCGAAAGCGUGGGGGAGCAAACAGG
rnacentral:rRNA from 1 species